rnacentral:rRNA from 1 species
GCAUGCAAGUCGAGCGCCCUUUUCGGAGGGAGCGGCAGACGGGUGAGUAACGCGUGGGAAUCUACCUAUCUCUAGGGAAUAACUCAGGGAAACUUGUGCUAAUACCCUAUACGUCCUUCGGGAGAAAGAUUUAUCGGAGAUGGAUGAGCCCGCGUUGGAUUAGCUAGUUGGUGGGGUAAAGGCCUACCAAGGCGACGAUCCAUAGCUGGUCUGAGAGGAUGAUCAGCCACACUGGGACUGAGACACGGCCCAGACUCCUACGGGAGGCAGCAGUGGGGAAUAUUGGACAAUGGGCGAAAGCCUGAUCCAGCCAUGCCGCGUGAGUGAAGAAGGCCCUAGGGUUGUAAAGCUCUUUUGUGCGGGAAGAUAAUGACGGUACCGCAAGAAUAAGCCCCGGCUAACUUUCGUGCCAGCAGCCCGCGGUUAAUACGAAGGGGGCUAGCGUUGGCUCGGGAUUCACUU